rnacentral:rRNA from 1 species
GCAUAUCAAUAAGCGGAGGAAAAGAAACCAACAGGGAUUGCCCUAGUAACGGCGAGUGAAGCGGCAAGAGCUCAAAUUUGAAAUCUGGCCCUUUCAGGGUCCGAGUUGUAAUUUGUAGAGGGCGCUUUGGCGUCGGUUACGGCCUAAGUUCCUUGGAACAGGACGUCACAGAGGGUGAGAACCCCGUACGUGGCCGCUAGCCUUCGCCGUGUAAAGCCCCUUCGACGAGUCGAGUUGUUUGGGAAUGCAGCUCUAAAUGGGAGGUAAAUUUCUUCUAAAGCUAAAUACUGGCCAGAGACCGAUAGCGCACAAGUAGAGUGAUCGAAAGAUGAAAAGCACUUUGGAAAGAGAGUCAAAAAGCACGUGAAAUUGUUGAAAGGGAAGCGCUUGCAGCCAGACUUGCCUGUAGUUGCUCAUCCGAGCUCUCGCUCGGUGCACUCUUCUACUGGCAGGCCAGCAUCAGUUCGGGCGGUCGGAUAAAGGUCUCGGGAAUGUAGCUCCCCUCGGGGAGUGUUAUAGCCCGGGACGUCAUGCGACCAGCCUGGACUGAGGUCCGCGCAUCUGCUAGGAUGCUGGCGUAAUGGCUGUAAGCGGCCCGUCUUGAAACACGGACCAAGGAGUCUAACAUCUAUGCGAGUGUUUGGGUGUCAAGCCCGGGCGCGCAAUGAAAGUGAACGGAGGUGGGAACCCCUCGGGGCGCACCAUCGACCGAUCCUGAUGUCUUCGGAUGGAUUUGAGUAAGAGCAUAGCUGUUGGGACCCGAAAGAUGGUGAACUAUGCCUGAAUAGGGUGAAGCCAGAGGAAACUCUGGUGGAGGCUCGCAGCGGUUCUGACGUGCAAAUCGAUCGUCAAAUUUGGGCAUAGGGGCGAAAGACUAAUCGAACUAUCUAGUAGCUGGUUCCUGC